AUUAGCACGCUGCUAACUGGAAUGGUGUCCCACAAAACCCAGCUCACAGAAGCUGGAAUGUAGCCUAGAUGCGAUCAAUAUUCCCUUGUCUGAAACCACGGUGCUGUAUUUAUUGAUAUAUCUGGGCCACUUCUGUACAGGCUUCACAACCCUUCCAUGGACAAGCAAUGGUAAGACACCACUGAAAAAGCAUUUCCCAGCUUCUAUUUGAGGUGUCCAAGGAAGGUGUUGGGAAACAUUUUAAUGGAACAAAGAAAAAACAUACAAGACUAUAAUUUUCUACCUAACACAGCUGCCACAUGCUGGCAAGGGCUGGGGGAUGUUGGGAGAGCUGUAGGGGAACUGCCAGGUCAUGGCUUGAACUGGUGAUGGAGCACCUGGUGAAGGGUGCUCCAUCAAGGCAAAUUGUGUACACCUGUGGUCCUCAGGUGACCAGAAGGGCUGCAUGCAGGGUGGAACCCCCUGGGCUCAUAUAAGGGCCAACCACGGACAGGGAGGCAUCUCUUGUUGAGCUGGGUUGCUUCCUGAGGAGGAGUGCUGUAUUGCCAGAGAGCCCCUCCAGCAGCUGGUCUGGAUCUCUGCAAGGCCUUCACCCUUGAUGGAGCCAACAGCCCUUCUCCAUUUAGUACCAUCAGCAGACUUGCUCAGAACAACUUGCAGCCCUCCAUCCAAGUCAUUCAUGGAAACAUUAAGGAGAGGUGGCCCUAAAAUGGAGCCCUGCUAGUGAUCAGCCUGCAGCCUGGUGGAACCCUACUAAUUACAGUGCUUUGGGAUCGACCCAUGAGCCAAUGACUCGCACAUCACUUUCUGUGUUUGCUUAGCAAUUCGUCCAGAAGGAUACUGUGAGGAAACAGCAUCAAAAGCUGAAACCCCCCCAAAAAUAAUAUCAACUGGUUUCCGUUGGUCAAAUACAGUUAGGUGGGUGGGUUGUUUGGUUUUCUUUUCCUUUAAGGAAGAUGGUCAGAUGAGACGAGGAAGAAAUUUGCUGCCUGGCUGUGUUAGAUACAGGAUGUAUAUGCACCUCAAGUGUUUUCCCUCUUACUGCUUGUCAUGGGAGCACUGCUGGUUAGGAUUUUCUCUGACAAAAUGGCAUCUCUUAAAUACAGCAGCUCCCAUUCCAAGGUCCUGUUUACAGCCAUAGUCUGUCCGCUUCAGAACAGCAAACUGAUCGCACGUGCAUGGAAAACGAGGCGCUGGCUAUGUUCAAACUUCAGAUCUGCUUGCAGCCACACUGAUAAGCAAAGGCAAAGCGAUGGCUGGAAGGGAAGGCUGGCAGCGGGGAGCAGAGUUUGUUCUGUUGCUGCAGCAGCAUGGGGCAAUUCGUCGUGUUUCAAAACCGACAUGCUGGCACUAAUUUCAGGGUAGAAUCCAACAGAGGCUAGCCUACUGACAGAGGAUUUCAGGCCCAUUUGUGUGACCUUACAUUGGCUACAAGCACUUCCUCAGGUUUCAAGGACAAGUACUGCCAGGGUAAGGCAGAAAUCACCCAAGAGGGAAAAGGAAAUUUCCUAUGCAAACUGACUUUCUGCAUUUUUUGGGGGGGGUCUGUUACAGAUUUCUUAGGUUUCAGUUAAUUUUAGGGCAAAGUCUGUUUAUUUUAGAUUAAACUUCUGCUUUCUGAAGAUGCUCAGUUAGCUCUCCAAGGGGUGCUGGUGCUCACAGCUGGACCUGUCAGGCUGAAUCACGGACAAAGCUGCAGUAACAGCAUCAUUUAUAACUUCUUACCCUACAUAAUGGACGGAAAUGCAUCAACCGUGAUGAAGAUGCUAUGAAAAAUUGAUGCAGAAACUUAAAAAUAAGACUGCCCACCCACUGCAGCUUGCAUGAUUGGCAGAGACGUCUUUUGAACAGAGAAUUAUCCAAAUUCUCCCCAGUCCCCGCCUUCUUUUGUGAUGCAUUUUGGGCUGAUAAAACUCCCCCUGAAAUAAACAGCAACAUUUUUGCUGACUUUAAGCAGCUGGCAGAAAUCCACAGAAUAAUGUUUUGAGCACCUAUUCUGACACACUCCUUCUAGUACUGUGGCAUGUAAUUUAUUGCAGAUUUAUUUCCACUGAGUCAGUUGGAGAACUCUGGACUGAGCUCUGCUGAUGGCUGCUCCUGUAAAUUACAUCGUUUUGCACAAAUACAGAUGCCAGACAGGCACUGCAUCACAACUUGUUUCCUGGGUCGUUUGCUACAUCUGCCUACACGGAAGAUGGUAUUUUGGUGAAGGAAAAUUACAGCUUGUGCUGAACAUGUUGGGUUCUGUCCAAAAAAACCCUUAAAUAUCAGAGUUUAGUGAGAAGUUUGGGAAGGCCUUCAAUGCUGUACUGCCUGCUAUCGAGUGAAUGCUGCAGUUCCACCAACACAGCACAGGGCUGUGGGGAAGCAACACCUGGUUUGGGUCCUGAGUGCAGAACAUGAUGUGCAUGAACUUCAGGCUCUGCCAGAACUGUUUUCAUGGUGAGUCUCAAUCAACUGUGACGGCCAUGUGUUAAUGACCACUGUAAUGAAGCACAUGGCAGGCACACAGCAUGCCUGUUUGCCACCACUGCAAGCUUGUGCCACUGCCAUUGCUUGUGCUUUCUGCUGCUCCGUGCUCACGCUGCAUUGCUCUGCACAAACACUUCACCUCCUGGCCCAAUGCUAAUUGCACAGUGACAGCAGCCCAACUGAAAAGAAUGAUUGUUUCUCCAUUUCUGAAUUAUUCAACUGCUGUGGAAGCCUAAAAACCAAAUCCACUGGAGAAUUAAGGCACAAAAGCCCAGUCAACUGCGAAGCAACCGCUCCAGGCAUGGCCAAGGAGCUGCCUGGGCAAAGAUGUCUACAUUUCCCCCUUCCUGCCUCAAUCUGCCAGCUCACCUACUCUCCAAAAACCCACAGGGCUAACGAGGACCUGCCAUCUGUAUAUUACUUAACUAAUGAAAAACUGGCUCAGGUUAACCAGCGCAGCUCAGGACCUGCUGCCAUGCCUUGGAGCUGGCUGAGCACUACGGCACCUGGCUGAGGUCUGCUGGAGGAGAAUGGACUCUGAUCACAAACAUCUCAGUGCCUUGGAUGUGUGCAUGAUUCUGCUUGGCUCUACACUCUCAUAAUGGUCCCAGCAAUGUUCGGUUGCAAAGGCAGCAGGGAAUCCUGCUUCUGCAACACAGGGCUCUGCUGGUGCUACGCUGGGCCUUGCCAAAGACAUCAGCUGACGUGGGAAAGAAGUCAGCCCUGCUACAAAGAACAUCAGUGUAUGAGAUUCUUGUUGCAUACCACACAGCUCUGAAGGCGUGAAGGGCAAGCAGGCGUUCCAAAGGCACGUGUCAAGGGAGAAAUUGGAGUGGAGGAUUUCAAUGUUAGUGCAAGGAGAGCUCACACCCCUGCAUGUGGGGAAAGCCCUGGAGAUCAUCAGCCUUUCAGAUCCUGGCCUUUUUCUUAGCAAAAGAUGGAGAACUGGGAUGAAACACUGCUUCCCAGCCCUGCAGCUGCCACAGGGACACCGACUGCCUCCCUCCUUCCUUCUCUGUCUACUUACAUGCACAGCUUGGGACAAAAAAACCUCUGCAAACCAUGAUCAGCCUCACCAUAAACAUUCACCAAGGACUGUAAUAGUUCCAAAUUACACUUUGCUUAGAGCACAGUUAAUAGCUUUUUCAAAGAGAUGAGAACAAAUGGAAGGGAGAACCUAGAGUAUGUUUACAGAUGUCGCAUGAAAAAACACUGCUAACCCAGUUUCCAUUUCCUUCUAUUAGAUGAACAGCUGGUGGGUUGUACCUCACAGAACAGAGGAGUGCACUGGGAGUGUGAGACAUGGAACGAGCCACCAGGAGAGGAGAAAAUUAUUUCAGGACAGUGAGGCACUGCCAGAUCUACAGUACGAGCCCAAGCAGAGCUGAGCUGUGCUACUGGGGGCUGCAAUGAAGCGUAACUAAAAUGCUUGUCAACGUUGAAAGAUCCUCAUAUGUAAAGGUAUGGAAUGCUUGAACAAAAGUGAUACUUCUGCUCUGCACUUUUUCCAAGCAAACUGAGAAAGCAGAGAGAUUGUUCAGAUAGAUUUCUAAUAGGGAGAAGGCAGAGCACACAACGCUUCCAGAUGGAAGGUACAGUGGGGGAUCACAAAGUAUAGGGGCCAGCUCUGCAAAGGCACUCCUCUGACCCCAACCCUGGAGCUCAGGCAGCAGGAUGCACCGCCAGGAGCAAGCAGCCUCUUCUUACACCUGCAGCACAGCACUGUGUGAUCUGCCCCAUUCCCAACCUCACCCAGGCACAAAAAAGAACCAGCCUAGCGCUGCUGCUUCACAGUGGCUCCCCAGCAGUGAUUCUGUACAGUUGCCAAUUCCCUUCUCGCAUGAAGGAGAGGUGUUCCCUCUGAUUGCUGUAUGGUGAGAGACAGCUGUGACAGCCCUUGACUUGACGAGCUGUAAGCUUUUCACAGAAAUCCAAGAAAGGGGAAAAAUAAGGUUUUUUUUCUUCCUCGUAAUAUGUAUUUUGAUGCCCUUUUGUCUUGAUUUGUUUUAAAUACAAAAAAAAAGGAUCGUGGUUUUACAUGCUGUGAGCGUUUCAGGGUUCUCUUCACGCUUUCACUCAAUAGCAGGUUAACUCUUCAAUGCAAACAGAGCCUGGAGCUUCCUUCUACCACUGCUGCUCCUUCAUUUCUUACAUGGAUUUACCAGACUUAAAGAAAUAGCAACACUGGAUUUGGAAGUGUUUCAGGCAGCCGUAAGCCCUCUUAAAGGAGCCAUAUCCCCAUGAGGAUGGCAGCUGUGCAGCGGCCAUCACUAUCUGAACUCUGAACCCAACAUCCAACAAGCCUUUGCAAAGCUGCCCUGCAAAGAGGAGCAGCCUCUUUUUGCACGUCUCUGAGAAAUUCUAUCCCCCAACUGCCGCUCGAUAUUUGUUAAAUUCAGUACAGAAAAUAGCAAGAAAUGGCUUAGCGUUACAUGUUUA